rnacentral:rRNA from 1 species
UACAGAGGUGGCAAGCGUUGUUCGGAAUCACUGGGCGUAAAGGGUGCGUAGGCGGUUCUUUAAGUCAGGGGUGAAAUCCUGGAGCUCAACUCCAGAACUGCCUUUGAUACUGAAGAUCUUGAGUUCGGGAGAGGUGAGUGGAACUGCGAGUGUAGAGGUGAAAUUCGUAGAUAUUCGCAAGAACACCAGUGGCGAAGGCGGCUCACUGGCCCGAUACUGACGCUGAGGCACGAAAGCGUGGGGAGCAAACAGG